rnacentral:rRNA from 1 species
AGAAUCAACGCUGGCGGCGUGCCUCAGACAUGCAAGUCGAACGCGAAAGCCCCUUUCGGGGGGCAAGUAGAGUGGCGCACGGGUGAGUAACACGUAGGUAAUCUACCUUCGGAUGGGGAAUAACAAUCGGAAACGGUUGCUAAUACCGCAUAAUGCAGCGGCACCUAAUGGUGACAGUUGUUAAAGCGGGGGAUCGAAAGACCUCGCGUCUGAAGAGGAGCCUGCGGCGGAUUAGCUAGUUGGUAAGUAAUGGCUUACCAAGGCGACGAUCCGUA